rnacentral:rRNA from 1 species
GAUGAACGCUGGCGGCGUGCCUAAUACAUGCAAGUCGAGCGAACGGACGAGAAGCUUGCUCCUCUGAUGUUAGCGGCGGACGGGUGAGUAACACGUGGAUAACCUACCUAUAAGACUGGGAUAACUUCGUGAAACCGUAGCUAAUACCGGAUAAUAUUUUGAACCGCAUGGUUCAAAGGUGCAUGACAGUCUUGCUGUCACUUAUAGAUGGAUCCGCGCUGCAUUAGCUAGUUGGUAAGGUAACGGCUUACCAAGGCAACGAUGCAUAGCCGACCUGAGAGGGUGAUCGGCCACACUGGAACUGAGACACGGUCCAGACUCCUACGGGAGGCAGCAGUAGGGAAUCUUCCGCAAUGGGCGAAAGCCUGACGGAGCAACGCCGCGUGAGUGAUGAAGGUCUUCGGAUCGUAAAACUCUGUUAUUAGGGAAGAACAUAAGUGUAAGUAACUGUGCACAUCUUGACGGUACCUAAUCAGAAAGCCACGGCUAACUACGUG